AUUUAACAAAUAUGCUGUCUCGCCGACCGAGGUUUGAACGAGCUAACAGGAGGGGGCAGGAAGCAAGCAAAUGAUAGUGUUAUCCGGAUCUGUGUCAUUUUAAACAUAUGUUGUAAGAAGGCUAGUUCACACCAACAAAUUUACUGAAAGAACAUCCACGUUGAACAAUGACUACCUACGAAAUCAAAGUCAAGACUGGGGACCGAUUGGGAGCCGGGACUGAUGCCAAUGUGGAAAUAGUUCUUCUUGAUGGCUCUGGAAGAAAAACGAAACCUGCCUUUCUGGACAACUGGUUAAGGAACGAUUUUGAGGCCAGACAGUUAGAUGUUUUCACUAUUAAAGAUGACACAGAUAUACCUGAUGUUACAGAAAUCAAGAUACGAAGAGAUCAGGCUGGGUUGUUCAGCGAUUGGUAUGUUGAAAAGAUAGAAGUGCUGAACAAGAGGAGUGGAACUGCCUCGGUUUUUCCAAUUCUUCGUUGGAUUCGUCCUGAUGUGGACUUGUACGUUGGGAAAUUUGAUACGUUUCUUCCCCAGUUUGACCCUAGAAGAGAUCAGAGAAAUGCUGAGCUUGAGUUGAAGAAAACAUUCUAUGAAUAUGAGGAAAAGGUUCCUGGCCUACCGGUUCAGGUUAAAAAGGUUCCCGAGGAUGAGCAGUUUUCAACUUCUGCAAAGUGGGAUCUUCUUAAAAGGAAAGUUAGCCUUCUUGCUGGAAAAAGCGUGGAAAUGAUUUUUGGAAGUGGUUCAUGGGAAACUUUAGAGGACUUGACUAGUGUCUAUUUAAAAACAUUCGGAGAUCCAAAGGAAAUGGAGAACUGGAAAAGUGAUGAGCAUUUUGGAUGGCAGCGUUUGAACAGUGUCAAUCCAAACCUCAUUCGUCUUUGCACAGAAAUACCAUCCAAGUUCGGGGUGACAGAGGAAAGUAUUAAAGAAUGUCUCGAAGGACUGACAUUGUCGGAAGCCAUGUCCAAGAAGCGAUUGUUUAUCGUUGAUCUUGAAAUACUUGAUGGAAUAACUUGUGUUGAAGGUUACAUUUCCCCAGUUCCGAUAGCCCUGCUCUUUGUUAACGGUACUGGGAAACUCAUGCCCGUAGCCAUCCAACUUUUUCAACAGAAAGGACCGGAAAACCCCGUUUUUGUACCGACUGAUCCACCGUAUACCUGGCUUUUUGCCAAAAUGUGGUACAAUGUUGCAGAUUCAAAUUAUCACCAAGCCUUAACCCACUUAGGUUACACACAUUUAUUAAUGGAAGGGAUAUGUAUAGCAACAAAUAGAUGUCUCUCGCCAUCACAUCCAAUGUUCAAAUUGUUGGCACCCCAUUUUCUUUUCAUUAUCGCCAUUAACGAUCGUGCUCUCAACUUUUUGGUCUCACCAGGUGGAUGGAUUGAUAAAACAAUGGCGAUUGGGGCUGUCGGCAUUUUGGAACUUACUAAGAAAGGUGCCGACUCCUGGAGAAUGAACAUCGAGGGAAACUACGCAGAGUUUCUAAAUAGCAGAGGAACACUAAUGACAAGAUCAUUAAUGAUGUGGAAAUUCAGACGUUUGGACAAGAACUGACCAAAUCGAAGUCAGAUGGAGGGUGUGGAAUUCCGGGCGUCCCUUUUGAAAACGGAAAGUUCAGCAAAGCGGAUCAGCUGAUAGAGGUUUUCACAUCCGUGAUAUUCUCCAGCAGCGUUGUGCAUGCUGCUGCAAACUUUCCUCAGUAUGAUGCUUACGGAUUUCCCCCCAACUAUCCUACAAAAAUUAAAGGAGUUCCGCCGAAGAAUAAAAACCCACUGAAAGAGGAAGACAUCGUAAAAAGUUUGAUAGAUAAGUCUACAACACUGGACACAAUGGUCAUCACUCGAAUCCUCAGUGAAAGAAGUACCAACGCUCUAGGAGACUUUGAAGUCACCUACACGUAUGAUCCCGCUGCAGUCAAAAUUGUAGAGGAAUUUAGACAAAACUUAAAGGACAUCAGUUUGAAAAUGCAUCAAAGAAAUGAAAAAUUGGUGCAAAAAUAUGAAUAUCUCUAUCCGGAAGAAAUUCCAAAUUCCAUCAGUACCUAACCUACAAUUGAGAAUCCAGAGGUGAUUCACAAAACUGAAAACGAAAUCAUAUGGAACAUGAUACGAAUGAAGUUCACAUUCUUUAUUGCAUGUAUUAAAAACAAAAAUAAUAUCUUUAGUUAUCUGUUAGAGACUUUUUUUUAGAUUUCUUUUUCUUUUGAGAUUUGGUGAUGGGAAUAUUAAAAUAUAUUAAAUUCAAUUCAUGUUAUGGUACAUGUAUGGUAUUAUGAUAUUUUCGUUAUAUUUAAUUUUAUGAUAUUCAUGUUUGAGCAUAUUUUAAUUUGUAAUCAAAGGCUAAUAUUGAGCUUUGUAUUUAAUAUGUUUGUGCAAGUUCAUGUAUGAUAAUAUCAAUAGCAUAUACUUAUAAUUUGAAUGUACAUGUGUUAAUAAAGCAGAAAAUAAAAAAAGAAUAGGAG
rnacentral:misc_RNA from 1 species